GAAUAGGUUUUUUUCAAAUCCACAAAUAUGUUAAAUAAAAAUCGAU
rfam:Echinostoma caproni strain Egypt genome assembly, scaffold: ECPE_scaffold0011863